UGGGGAAUAUUGCACAAUGGGCGCAAGCCUGAUGCAGCCAUGCCGCGUGUAUGAAGAAGGCCUUCGGGUUGUAAAGUACUUUCAGUCGGGAGGAAGGUGGUAAGGUUAAUAACCUUAUCAAUUGACGUUACCGACAGAAGAAGCACCGGCUAACUCCGUGCCAGCAGCCGCGGUAAUACGGAGGGUGCAAGCGUUAAUCGGAAUUACUGGGCGUAAAGCGCACGCAGGCGGUUGAUUGAGUCAGAUGUGAAAUCCCCGGGCUUAACCCGGGAAUUGCAUCUGAUACUGGUCAGCUAGAGUCUUGUAGAGGGGGGUAGAAUUCCAUGUGUAGCGGUGAAAUGCGUAGAGAUGUGGAGGGAUACCGGUGGCGAAGGCGGCCCCCUGGACAAAGACUGACGCUCAGGUGCGAAAGCGUGGGGAGCAAACAGG
rnacentral:rRNA from 2 species